AAGGCCACGUUUUUUUAGGUGCACUCCCUUCUUGCCAAACAUCGAAAACCAUAAGCCGUAAAUAAUAGUGAGCGAACUCGAUCUUUUAUUACGUUCGAAUUGCCUCAACCUUCCCCAUCCCGAACACCCGGAAGCUCCUCGGACGGCCUCUCUCAGCUUCGCAUCUCGCCACUUAUGGACGGUGGCCCGCUACCGAGCAUUUCCACCUCCGGCCCCGCCCGCCGGCCGAAGCCGACUCAGGAGGCUCCCGACGCGGCCUUGCUCUGCUCAGCAUCCCGCCGGAGACGUGGAGGCGGCGGUCCGCUCUCCGGCAAUACCCGGAGGCGCACUCAGGGGGCGCCAACGUAUAAUGCUCCCGGCUGUGUGAGGCGAGUCAGCCCCCCCCCCCACACACACCUUCCUUUUUUUUUUUUUUUUUAAUACCUUGAUGUCAAGUGCAUGAUUCAUAAGCACUUUUAAAGGCAGGAAUAUGAUGACAAAUUGAUGAUGGUAUUAAAGUGUAAUCACACACUUUUUUAGCUCAAUAAUUUCCACUCAAGAUCCUCUUGAGGCGACUAAUGAUACAAUUUGAAGAUGUCUCGUCCUUUUAGGUGUUUGCCCUUGUGUUCCAUCAUAAAUCCAUCAGAUCAAUGGCGGGGCCGCAUAAACAAAUAAGACCUUCAUCUUUUGGGAUUAUUCUAAAUAAAUCAAAACGGCCAAACAAACAGAAUGCUCCCGAAAGCGGCUCGUGUGGUUUUAAUUAUAUGUAGACCCCCCCCCC